rnacentral:snRNA from 1 species
GUGCUCGCUUCGGCAGCACAUACACUAAAAAUUGGAACGAUACAGAGAAGAUUAGCAUGGCCCCCACACAAGGAUGACACGCAAAUUUGUGAAGCAUUCCAUGUUUGU